CCAGACUCCUACGGGAGGCAGCAGUGAGGAAUAUUGGUCAAUGGCCGAGAGGCUGAACCAGCCAAGUCGCGUGAGAGAAGAAUGUCCUAUGGAUUGUAAACCUCUUUUGUCAGGGAGCAAAGUCACCCACGUGUGGGUGUUGGAGAGUACCUGAAGAAAAAGCAUCGGCUAACUCCGUGCCAGCAGCCGCGGUAAUACGUAUGGUGCAAGCGUUAUCCGGAUUUACUGGGCGUAAAGGGAGCGCAGGCGGCGCGCCGAGUCUGAUGUGAAACCCCGGGGCUCAACCCCGGGCAUGCAUUGGAAACUGGCGGGCUGGAGUGCCGGAGAGGUAAGCGGAAUUCCUAGUGUAGCGGUGAAAUGCGUAGAUAUUAGGAGGAACACCAGUGGCGAAGGCGGCUUACUGGACGGCAACUGACGCUGAGGCUCGAAAGCGUGGGGAGCAAACAGGAUUAGAUACCCUAGUA
rnacentral:rRNA from 1 species